rnacentral:rRNA from 1 species
UACGAAGGGGGCUAGCGUUGUUCGGAAUUACUGGGCGUAAAGCGCGCGCAGGCGGUCCUUCAAGUCAGGGGUGAAAGCCCCGGGCUCAACCCUGGAAUGGCCUUUGAGACUAGAGGACUUGGGUACGGGAGAGGUGAGUGGAAUUCCGAGUGUAGAGGUGAAAUUCGUAGAUAUUCGGAAGAACACCAGUGGCGAAGGCGGCUCACUGGCCCGUUACCGACGCUCAGGCGCGACAGCGUGGGGAGCAAACAGG